AAUCCCCAACUUUCCCUCCUAAAAUCCCUAAUUUCCCCCUUGAAACCCCCCAACUUUACAAACAUACGUCCUUUAAAAUUUUUAACUCCGACCCCAUUGCUAUCUUUUCUUCCUCAACCCCAAUUCAAACGCCCAAUUUUGGAAAGCUAUUUUUUCUUUCUCUGCAGAACUUAAAAAAAAACCGAUCUCGAUUCAUACACAUUUAACAAUCACAGUCACAGUCCCGCUGGACUUUUAGCAAAAUCCAAAAAUCUCUCUUCCUCCAUGAAGCAGCCAAGAGAAGUGCAAAAACGGCUGUCUCAUAUAUUCUUCCAUCUAAGUUAUUUGGGAAGAAAGAAGAUGAAUCUGACUCAACUGUGCCAAAUGAAAACGGUAAAGUGCCGGAUGAAUAUGAGAGUGAAGGGUCUAUUGAGGAACCUACCUUUAUGGAGUCAGUUUCAGAUUCGAAUCCUGUUGAUGAAAAGCAACCAUUCUGAUAGGAGGAAGUAGCUCCGUUGUUUUGAAGGAUAAGUGUUGAGCAAAUUAGUAGCAGAACCAAAUGCAUGAAGCUUUAAGCAAACGGACUAUAUCAAUACACUGGUACUGAUAUCAAGAAAAUAACAGUCAUCAAAAUCAACCACAACCAAGAUGUCCAAGCAUUAGACAGAAACGAGAAUAAGAGCUGCGAAACUGGAAUUAUACGUAUAGCACUCCAAUCACUUUUCUUGCAACAUGAUUACUCGUAUAGCACUCCAAUCAUAAAAUGGAUUUUAACGGCGGAGGAAGAGGAAUUUGGAUUCUCAAGAAACUAUUUCUUAGCAAAAGAAAUGGGCAGUUCUGGGAAGAAAUCUGCUCGUAAACUCAGUGAUAUCAACGUCGUUGACGAACAGGAACUUAGAGAAGCUUCAGCUAAUAUUGAACCAAAGCAUCAAAAUGACAUUGCAGAUUUAAUAAAUAGUUACAAAAGUUUAUACCCAAAAUGGUUUUUUGAUCUCAGCUGAAAAAGGCCUUUACAUUAAUCACCCUUGAAGUUACUUUUCUACAGGAACAGGCUGCUUUGCUAACAUGUGGAAAUGUUGAUUUUUGAUAAUUCCUUACAUAUUAAAUAUUGAAGUGUUGAUAUUCAAGCUAGUAAUUUAACAGUAAGGUUUAUUAAUGUUAUCUAAUUAAUUAAUUGGACUAACUUAUCAGGUUUUGUAAAUUAAGGGGAUAAAAUUCAUAAUUAGACCUUUAAUUAUUUAUUUUUAUUCCAAAGUGUUACCUUGAAAGUUAGUAUUGGUUUAAUUUUCCAGUACUUAUUGUGUGUAUGUUUUGCUUUUAUUUAUUUGCAGAUGUGGUUUUGGUCUUCUAAUGUAUGAAUUUGAAGUGCAUUUCUAUUCUUCUAUUUGCAGUUAAAAUUUGAAACUGAAGACAAAGCAAGCAGACUUUUGAGUAAUGUGUCAUUUUUGUUGAAAUCAGGGGGUUAUUUUUUCUGUAUUACUCCUGAAAAAGUGAUUGCCAAAAACUGUUGUUUCUGGAUUUGUGUAUUUUUCUUUUUUUUUGUUCUUGUGGUCUGCUGCACCUGUUUCUGGGAGGUAAUUGUGUAAACAUUUUAGUGUGAUUUAGUUAUUGUAAGAAUAUUUUUAACAUUGUUAAUUUUAAUAUUAUUGUAAGAAUAUUUUGAAUUAUAAUUCAGUUAUUAAUUUAUAUCA